UACAGAGGUCCCAAGCGUUGUUCGGAUUCACUGGGCGUAAAGGGUGCGUAGGUGGCUUGGUAAGUUUGAUGUGAAAUCUCCGGGCUUAACCCGGAAAUGGCAUUGAAUACUAUUGAGCUGGAGGUUUGGAGGGGGGACUGGAAUUCUCGGUGUAGCAGUGAAAUGCGUAGAUAUCGAGAGGAACACCAGUGGCGAAGGCGGCUUCCUGGACCGAUUACUGACGCUGAGGCGCGAAAGCUAGGGGAGCAAACGGG
rnacentral:rRNA from 1 species